rnacentral:rRNA from 1 species
UACAUGGGGUGCAAACGUUGCUCGGAAUUAUUGGGCGUAAAGCGCGCGCAGGCGGUUUCUUAAGUCUGAUGUGAAAGCCCACGGCUCAACCGUGGAGGGUCAUUGGAAACUGGGGAACUUGAGUGCAGAAGAGAAAAGCGGAAUUCCACGUGUAGCGGUGAAAUGCGUAGAGAUGUGGAGGAACACCGGUGGCGAAGGCGGCAUCCUGGACCGGCAUUGACGCUGAGGCGCGAAAGCGUGGGGAGCGAACAGG